AACGUAGGGACCGAGCGUUAUCCGGAUUUACUGGGCGUAAAGCGUGUUCAGGCGGCCGCGCAAGUCGGGCGUGAAAUCUCUCGGCUCAACCGGGAGGGGUUGUCCGAUACUGCGUGGCUGGAGGGCAGUAGAGGGUGGUGGAAUUCCGGGUGUAGUGGUGAAAUGCGUAGAGAUCCGGAGGAACACCAGUGGCGAAAGCGGCCACCUGGACUGUACCUGACGCUCAAACACGAAAGCUAGGGGAGCGAACGGG
rnacentral:rRNA from 1 species